rnacentral:rRNA from 1 species
CCUACGGGAGGCUGCAGUAGGGAAUAUUGCUCAAUGGGGGAAACCCUGAAGCAGCAACGCCGCGUGGAGGAUGAAGGUUUUCGGAUUGUAAACUCCUUUUGUUAGAGAAGAUAAUGACGGUAUCUAACGAAUAAGCACUGGCCAACUCCGUGCCAGUAGCCGCGGUAAUACGGCGGGUGCAAGCGUUAGUCGGAAUCACUGGGCGUAAAGAGCGCGUAGGCGGGAUGGCAAGUCAGAUGUGAAAUCCUAUGGCUUAACCAUAGAACUGCAUUUGAAACUGGUAAUCUAGAGUAUGGGAGAGGUAAGUGGAAUUCUAGGUGUAGGAGUAAAAUCCGUAGAGAUCAAGAGGAAUACUCAUUGCGAAGGCGACCAGCUGGAACAUAACUGACGCUGAUGCGCGAAAGCGUGGGGAGCAAACAGGAUUAGAUACCCUUGUAGUC